UACGUAGGUGACAAGCGUUGUCCGGAUUUACUGGGCGUAAAGCGCGCGCAGGCGGCUUUGCAAGUCAGGGGUGAAAUCCCAGAGCUCAACUCUGGAAUUGCCUUUGAGACUGUGAGGCUUCGAGUACGGGAGAGGUGAGUGGAAUUCCCAGUGUAGAGGUGAAAUUCGUAGAUAUUGGGAAGAACACCGGUGGCGAAGGCGGCUCACUGGCCCGUUACUGACGCUCAGGCGCGAAAGCGUGGGGAUCAAACAGG
rnacentral:rRNA from 1 species